rnacentral:rRNA from 1 species
UACGUAGGGUGCGAGCGUUAAUCGGAAUUACUGGGCGUAAAGCGUGCGCAGGCGGUUCGUUAAGUUCGUUGUGAAAGCCCCGGGCUCAACCUGGGAACUGCAAUGGAAACUGGCGGGCUUGAGUGUGGCAGAGGGGGGUGGAAUUCCGCGUGUAGCAGUGAAAUGCGUAGAUAUGCGGAGGAACACCGAUGGCGAAGGCAAUCCCCUGGACCUGUACUGACGCUCAUGCACGAAAGCGUGGGGAGCAAACAGG